UCUCCACCCGAGACUCAGUGAAAUCGAAAUCGCAGUGAAGAUGCUGUGUACCCGCGGCUAGACGGAAAGACCCCGUGAACCUUUACUAUAGCUUCACAGUGAACUUUGAGCAUGUUUGUGUAGGAUAGCUGGGAGGCUUUGAAGUGGGAACGCCAGUUCUCAUGGAGCCAACCUUGAAAUACCAGCCUGACAUGUUUGAGGUUCUAACUUGGACCCCUUAUCGGGGUUGAGGACACUGUGUGGUGGGUAGUUUGACUGGG
rnacentral:rRNA from 1 species